rnacentral:tRNA from 3 species
GCGGAAGUGCUGGAAUUGGCAGACAGGCUAGACUAAGGAUCUAGUGUUGGAAACGACGUGAGGGUUCAAGUCCCUUCUUCCGCA